GGAGGGUGCAAGCGUUAAUCGGAAUUACUGGGCGUAAAGCGCACGCAGGCGGUCUGUCAAGUCGGAUGUGAAAUCCCCGGGCUUAACCUGGGAACUGCAUUCGAAACUGGCAGGCUGGAGUCUUGUAGAGGGGGGUAGAAUUCCAGGUGUAGCGGUGAAAUGCGUAGAGAUCUGGAGGAAUACCGGUGGCGAAGGCGACCCCCUGGACAAAGACUGACGCUCAGGUGCGAAAGCGUGGGGAGCAAACAGGAUUAGAUACCCUGGUAGUCCACGCCGUAAACGAUGUCGACUUGGAGGUUGUUCCCUUGAGGAGUGGCUUCCGGAGCUAACGCGUUAAGUCGACCGCCUGGGGAGUACGGCCGCAAGGUUAAAACUCAAAUGAAUUGACGGGGGCCCGCACAAGCGGUGGAGCAUGUGGUUUAAUUCGAUGCAACGCGAAGAACCUUACCUACUCUUGACAUCCAGAGAACUUAGCAGAGAUGCUUUGGUGCCUUCGGGAACUCUGAGACAGGUGC
rnacentral:rRNA from 1 species